AUUCUGUCCGUGUGAAAGCAAACAUUUUGAAAUUGAUUCUGUCCGUGGCAAAGCCCAAGGUAUUACUGCAUUCUGAUAUUCAUUCCCAGAACAAGUACAUUGUUAAUAUACUUCAAAUGCAUACAGCAGUGCCAAAGCAAUAGAAGUUGCUUGAAGUUGAUAAUUGUUCUUCGCAAUGGUUCAAUCAAAUAAGCAUUACAUUAGAGUCUUGUACAAAAUAAACAUGACCAAAAAUGAAAUUACAACUCCCGUUGCCGCUCUGAGUAAAUAGGAUGCAAUGUUGAAGCACCUAUUUGAAUCACAAUGGCCAUCUAUGUUUGAUUGCAAAGGUUCAAGCAAUGGUGGGUAAUCAGUGAUGAUUUCUUGUUCAAGCAGCAAUUGCACAUUGGACCUAGCUUCGACAUACGCCCUAAGCAUCAUUUGUCUCUUCCAAUGACGAAUAGAACUCAAUAGAACUCUUUUCCAGCCAUGGCAACUUUCUUAAGCUUAAACAAAAGCAAUCACAACAAUCAUUUGAUUAGGGGCAAAUCAUAUUUUCAAACCAUAAUUUCAGAUUCACAAACUAAAUAUGCACACACAAAAUAAUAAACCCAUCCAACCCUAAUUUCCGAUUCAAAACCCAAAUAAUUUGUAAAAUUGCAAAUUUUUCUUCUCUUUUUAAGAACCACACACAAUCCACGGUGGCAGUAGGUAUAUUUUUUACUAAUUGGCUCAUACUAACAUAGAAAUUA